GGAUUCUACGACAGCAAAGACAGACACAGAAUAUGAGAGAGCGGCUGCUGAUGUUAAACUUGAGCAGACGCACGUGCAUCUGCCUCAGAGACUACAAUACCUAAACACUAACAAUCCUCCUCCAAGCCCAGUCAAGGCCAUGGGCUUGUGUGUUACACAUGAAAAUAGAAGCAAACCCUCUGUUAAAGAGACAAACUCUCCCACCAGAAGGACAAGCAAUUUCCUCUGUACUUCAGAUCCUGGGCAACCAUAGCCUGUCGUUCCCAGCCCAAGUGUUGGAAACUGGACUCCUUUUUAGGUAAAACAUUACGUUUGAAUUCUAAGGUUCCUUUCUCAAAGCCAAUAUUCCCGCCAGCUCUUGGAGAUUCCCCAGUUCUUUUUUUUUUUUUUUUAAUUCCUCAAAUAACGUAAUAAUACAUGGAACAUGAGACUACUUGAAAUGAGAAGACAGCGCAGAGGACUGAAUAUGGAAAUCAAUGACUUUUUUCAAUAUGUAAAAUUACUGAGACAUUGUAGAACUUUGAUACCAUGCAAAGAAUAUUCUUCGCUGUAAUUCAGAAAGUGGUUAGAAGUUUCAAGAGCCCUUCGGUUUUGCUGUAUGUCAACACAGGGUGGACACCAUUGAAAGGUACAAUCGACCCUUAGAAGUUUAUAAACAGCAACUUUGGACUUCUGUUCCACUUGGAAUCUGAAAUCUGUGGUGUGGAGCAAUAAUUUUAACUUGGGAAGCUUACUCAUCGUACACAGCACAGAACAGGGUUUGUUUCAUACAAACACUGUCAAGAACCCUAAGGAAACGAAGUUCUGAAGUCCAGCUGGAGGCAGGUGAAAGUCUUUUUGUCUCUGCUUGGAAGUCUCACAGCACAAUCCAAGAUGGCCACAGUUUUUGUGACAACAUCAAAACUACCUGCAAGUCUCACUUCAUGGAACACAACAGAAACUCUGCAUAAGAAAAAAGGAAAUCCACAAAGCUUGUAGAAUGCCAGGGUCUCUCACUGUUGUCCAGGAUGAAG
rnacentral:lncRNA from 1 species